CUGCCAUAGCCCCUGAGGACAUAGUAAGCAAGACCCCUGCUCUUGAGGACCCCCUGUUCUUGUAGCAGAGAUGCAGAGAUGGGAGACAGAUUAUCAGCAAAGAGACAACAGAUGAUGAGGAUUUCAAAAGCAAAGAGUAUUAUGGGUAAAACUGAGCAUGAGCAGUCUCAAUAAGAGAGGAAGAAAGAAAAAGCACAAGAACAUCUCCCCUAAUUUCACCUCCUAUCAAAGAAUGGCACUCAACCCAAACUAGGAAGCCAAUACUAACCUCCACUCAGACUCCACAGAACAUCUCGGGCAGUACUGAUAAAACUGAAGUAAAAGAUUCAUGAAGUCACAUCACAGAAAAUGCAGCAUCUGGCAAGAUAUGCUCCCCACCCCUAUGGCUGGCUACCAUCCCCCUCUCUUACACCAUGAGAAGGGGGAUCAUGUUCCAGAAGCACACCAGGAAAUACUAAGAGAAAAUACAGGCUACUUUAGCUGAACACACACAGUCCUGCCCAACCUCUGGACCACUACUUUGUUCUAGGUCGGCUAACUACAAAUGACUCAGCAAAGGCGGGACAAUGAAAAGAACCGAAAGCCCCAGGGCCUGUCUGUCAGGUACAAGGUUCGGAAGGGUUGAUGAAAAAGAAAAGAAUCCCCUUGAUUAAGAAGAAAAUAUGAAUGAGAAAAAACACUGGGAGACAGUCGAUCCACCAAACAUGCUACCGAUGGUUGGGUUAACAAGGUGAAAUAAUCAGCUAU